GGAAUUCGAUUGGCGGACGGGUGAGUAAUAUAUAGGUAAUGUGCCCUAGAGAAGAGGAUAACAGUUGGAAACGACUGCUAAUACUCUAUAUGCCUUUAAGACAAAAGUCUGCAAGGGAAAUAUUUAUAGCUCUAGGAUCGGCCUGUACGGUAUCAGCUAGUUGGUGAGGUAAUGGCUCACCAAGGCAAUGACGCCUAACUGGUUUGAGAGGAUGAUCAGUCACACUGGAACUGAGACACGGUCCAGACUCCUACGGGAGGCAGCAGUGGGGAAUAUUGCACAAUGGGGGAAACCCUGAUGCAGCAACGCCGCGUGGAGGAUGACACAUUUCGGUGCGUAAACUCCUUUUAUAUAGGAAGAUAAUGACGGUACUAUAUGAAUAAGCGCCGGCUAACUCCGUGCCAGCAGCCGCGGUAAUACGGAGGGCGCAAGCGUUACUCGGAGUCACUGGGCGUAAAGAGCGUGUAGGCGGGUUAAUAAGUUUGAAGUGAAAUCCUAUGGCUCAACCAUAGAACUGCUUUGAAAACUGUUAACCUAGAAUAUGGGAGAGGUAGAUGGAAUUUCUGGUGUAGGGGUAAAAUCCGUAGAGAUCAGAAGGAAUACCGAUUGCGAAGGCGAUCUACUGGAACAUUAUUGACGCUGAGACGCGAAAGCGUGGGGAGCAAACAGGAUUAGAUACCCUGGUAGUCCACGCCCUAAACGAUGUACACUAGUUGUUGUGAGGCUAGACCUUGCAGUAAUGCAGUAAACACAUUAAGUGUAC
rnacentral:rRNA from 1 species